rnacentral:rRNA from 1 species
UACGAAGGGGGCUAGCGUUGUUCAGAAUUACUGGGCGUAAAGCGCGUGUAGGCGGGUCUUCAAGUCAGGGGUGAAAUGCCAGGGCUCAACCUUGGAACUGCCUUUGAUACUGGAGACCUUGAGUCCGGGAGAGGUGAGUGGAAUUGCGAGUGUAGAGGUGAAAUUCGUAGAUAUUCGCAAGAACACCAGUGGCGAAGGCGGCUCACUGGCCCGGAACUGACGCUGAGACGCGAAAGCGUGGGGAGCAAACAGG